rnacentral:rRNA from 1 species
GUCCUAGCCCUAAACGAUGAAGACUUGGUAUUGCGGGUACCAAUCCUGCCGUGCCGGAGUUAACGCAGUAAGUCUUCCGCCUGGGGAGUACGGUCGCAAGGCUGAAACUCAAAGUAAUUGACGGGGGCCCGCACAAGCGGUGGAGCAUGUGGUUCAAUUCGACGCAACGCGAAGAACCUUACCUGGGCUCGAAGCGCAGUGGAAUCCGGGUGAAAAUCCGGCGCCCGCAAGGGCCGCUGCGGAGGUGCUGCAUGGCUGUCGU